CCUAACAAUAACAUCACUUUUUGGUAUUUGAGAUUUUUAAUGAAAAAUAGUUUAGCAUUCAGAUUUUGCAUUUGUUUGAACUGUACUGAAUUUAAAAUUAAUUCAGAACUAACUAAUUUAGUUGUAAUUAAAAUGGAUCUAAUUUUUAUCUUAUCACUAAGACAAUAGUGUCAUUUUUCUAUAAAUUUGUUACUUUUAAAGAUAAAUCAUAUAUGCACGUUGUUGUUAGGUGCCGUCAAGUCAUUUCUGACUCCUGUGUCUUUAUGAAACAGCUACCACUUUUUUACUGGGUAUAGCCUCUCUUUCUCAUUCUCUUUGUAUAUAUGUAUAUAUAUUUGUGUGUGUGCAUGUGUGUGUAUGUGUGUGUGUUUUCUUUUUAAAGAAAUUGCUAUUUUUUGAGCUGAUAGUUAUAUAACUGAAGUAAGAUUUCAAAAGACUAAAAUAAUCACUUGCUUAUGAAAUAGUUGGGGCCCUGGUAGUACAGUGGUUAAGAACUCGGCUGCAAACCAAAAGGUCGGCAGUUUGAAUCCACCAGUUACUCCUGUAGUUCCAUUCUGUCCCAUAGGGUUGCUAUGAGUGCGAAUCGACUUGACGGCAACGGGUUUUUUUUUUUUUUUUUUAUGAGACACUUACGUAGGAUGGUUUGGAUUAUUCAGUUUAUAUACGUAUUUAGUACUUAAAUCAUCCCAGAAACCAUCUUUUUGGAGAAUAAAACGAUUUUAUAAUAGGGCUAAAUGAAGUUUAAUGUUUGUUCCUUAAGUCACUUAAUUGGUUAUAUUGGUAGUAAUCCUCAGUAUGUUACUCAGUUGUUUUUUUUAAUUUGUAAAAGGGGUUGUUAAAAAGAUUAAACUAAUUCCUGUAACACAUAGUAAGUAUUCAGUAACUGGUAUGUUAAAGUAUGUAUUUGAAGCAAUACUUAUAAUUUAUUACCACCAAAUUAAGUUUUAGUUUCUGUUGAUGGUUUUUGAAACUAGACAUUCAGUAAAAAUAAUAUAUUUAAAUUAUUUAACACUGUGUAGUGCUUUUCUGUGUUCAGAAUGCUUUCCUACAUAUCCUUCCAUGUGUUCAUAAAACCACCCUACACGGUUAUGAGAAAGAGAAUCAUCUGGGCAUGGAGUUAGUAUUAGAGCCUAGAUUGAAAUCCAGGUUGUUUGACUGGGUUGAUAAUUGUCUUCUCUCCCUUCUAUCUUUGAUAAAGAGGUUUAUAAAACAUCCUAGAUUUGGGUGGAAGGUUCCUUUGCUUAUUCAUCUUGCCUUCAGGGUUAGCUAAAGGUCACCGUACUUGGUAAAAAGAUUAGCAUUCUAUGGGGUAGUGCUCUGAGUCAGAAUCAACUUGAUGGCAGGGGGUUAUGGGGUGGAGUAGUCAAGUUUUUAUUCAAGGAUUUAAUGAAACUACGAUUUUUAAAAAUACAUAUUUUCCUUAAAAGUUUUUGUUUAUAGCUUGUAAUUUUAGUGGCAUUAUGAGUAUAUAAAAUGUUACUGUGACUUUGAAAAUAAAUUAUUAAUUUAACAAAUAUUUAUUGAAUACUUACAAAGUUUUGUUUAUUGGAUUUCAUGGUUAUAUGACCUGAUUGAUAUUCAUCUGUUUUAAAAAAAAUUUAGCGUGUAUUCUAUUCUCUAAUAUUGUUCAUUUUGGAAAAUUAGAGAAUUGCUGGGAAUUUUAGAGCUGGAGGGAACCUUUCAAGAGCUUCCAGUGUGUUUAUUUCCUGAGACAGGGUAGUUUUUGUUACUUGAAAGCUUAGUGGUAGAGGGAUGAGAGAGUCUUCAGAGGGAAGAUCUUGAUGGGGUUGGGGUGGAGAUGUUGGUAUUAAAACUUUUGAAAUGGAUUGAGGCCAUUGUUUUUUGUAAACCUUGUUAGGAUUUUCAGCUAAGUUUGGAGGAUUCUCAUUGUGGUACUGUCUUAAGAGAAACAGCAGGUAAUGCUUUGCAGUCUACAGGGGGUGGGCUUUUCUGAUUGUUGGAACUUAUGGCUCUAGUCCAGGAUCCUCUUGAUGGCAAGAAAACAGGCCUGGGAAGAUUGUGAUUUGUUCAAGGUCAGUAGCUGGUUAGUGUCAGAUUCAGAUAUCUGGAUUUCCAGUAUAUUCUCAUUACCUUAGACCUGGUAGUAAUACUUCUGAAAAAUCAACCAUUGAAAACUGUAUGGAGCACAGUUCUACCCUGGCACACAUGGAGUCACCAUGAUUUGAAGUCAACUCGAUGGCAACUUUUUUUUUUUUAGUUACUGUGCUAUGGUAGCAUUUAAGUUUACUAGCAAGUAACUUCUUAAGGAUUUCUUCGUGUGAUUUUCAUUAUACCUAGAUCUAGUGCUGUGCAUCUUAAUAACUUUUAACAUUAAACAAGUACUUAUAAAUAAUAUAAAAACAUAUUGGAAUCUGGGCUAGCAGCAUAGUGAAUGAAGAACAAAGUGUCAGUUAUUUUCUGUGUUAACUAAUGUUUUUGAAGUGCGAAUGUUAACAAACUUCAUUUAGAUAUCUUUUAUAGUAACAUUUAUUGUGCUGUAUAUCUUGAUUUCUUUGAUACUACAGUAUUUCUUAGAAGAAAAAUCCCAGAAAAUAUUAUUUUCCUCCUUUGUUUGCAAUAUUAAUACUAAGAAUCACUAAUAAUAUAAUUUAAUAAUAUGUAUGUGUGUAUGAAUAACUUGUGUACGUGAUAAAAAGUUUGUACGGCCUCUGACAAUUUCUAGACAUAUAUGUUAAACCACUUCAUCUUUGCUUGUUUCAUAGUCUGAUCAGGGUUUUUUUUUUUUAACCAUAAUAAGUAUCAUGCAUCACUUUUAUAGAAUAUGCUAGGAACGAUCAGCCUACAACAGCAGCAAGUAGAUGGCAUUUGAUUCUAAAGAAGUAGCUGUUUAAGAGGUAGAGCUUUAGGUGCAUUUGCAGGUAUAAGGCAAAGUUGUUUUCGUCUUCUUUCAUCUUUUGCAUCCCUUCUUGCUAUUUAUCUUUUGUCUUCACAGCCUCAAACUCUCCUUAUUAAUAUUCAGACCUAGCCUGCCUUGUGAAUUCCUUAAUCAUCUUUAUUCCAACAAUUGAUCCUUUACUAGAAUAUGUUUUAUGUUUUAUAUAAAUCUGAAUAAAGUAAUUGUUUCAAGCGUGAAUGUAAAUAACCUGUUCAUGGCGGAUAGCGUUUUAUUUUUUUUCCUUAAGAUAAUAACUCUCUUUCUGGUGAUAGAAAUAUUACAUGUUCACUGAAGAUACUGAAGAAGUAUAAGGAAGAAAAUAGGAACGCCCAUCAUCAUAACAUCUUUGCAGUUAGAGAAUGAAGAGCCGUGAAACCAUAGUUUCUUGAAGGUAGAGGAUGGUUGUUGAGGAGCAUAAUACUAAAGGGAGAUGUAUUACUGAAACAUAUCUGGAUCUUUAACAGGAACUAGUGUUUGAAGUCAUUGCUGCAGACAUUAAAAUGAACAUGUGCCUGGUUAACAUGUUAACAUGUAUUAAGUUAAAUGUAAUAGAAUAUCUUCAUGUGAGCUUGAAGAUAAAAUUCUGUUGAGCUUUUUUUCUCUUUUGGUUGGAACUAUUUUAAUGUCCAUUUUUAGAUGAUUAUUUUAAAAGUGUAACACAGUAUCAGAACUAUUACUUAUUGCUUUCCUUUGUUUGUACAGGUAUUUAAAUUAAAGUCAGCAUUAUUAUUUCUCAAUAGCCUGACAUACUUUUAUGUGUGUGUGAUUUGUUUGUUACAGUGAUAAAUGGUAUUUUAAAGACUUACUGGUGAUAAAUGGGAAUUGUAUUAAUGCUUUUUGUCUUGAAGUCUUAUAGAUUGUUAGCCCUCUGGGCAGUGGUGGCAUUUAUACCAAAAUUUAGUGAAUGUUGAUGACAAUGGCUAGUUAAGAAAUGGCAGAUUUUGAUCAACUAAUUAUCCUUGUACUAAUAUUAAAAAAUGAUAGUGUUAUUUCACUGAAAUGGAGGAAUAGUGUGAUAGAAGAUAUUUUUGUGUAUUAAAAUAUAACUGCCAUUACAGUGGAAAUUUAAAAAUGAAACCAUUCAAAUCAUUUUCUUUGUGUUUCUGAUAAUACUAGAAGUUGCUGUUGACAUUGUGGUUAGCAAAUUGUGUUCUGUACUUUGGUGCAUGUGUUUAUAGCUGUAUGGUGAAUUUACAACUCUUUCUCUUGUAGUUCUACAUGUAAUAAUAAUCUCAAAUAAAAUUACAUAAUCUUUUUAUUCUGAUAGAGAAGAAAAAGCUGGAUCACUUACCAGUAACUGGAGUUCUCCUAUUGGGUAAUCUCCACAGAUCCACAUUCUUUGAAGUUAUUGUGAAUGCCUUGAGGACCAAGGAACCGUUGAAAUUUCCAAUUUCAGGAAGUUCCAGUGGAUGCCCAUCAGGAAGAUUCUGAUGUUGGACAGAAGGACAAGAGAGGUGGAUCUGUGAGGGAAAAGACCCAAUAGGAUAACUCAAGUUACUGGUAAGUAAUUCACUUCUCAUAAACUUGAGAUUUUUUCCUCCAAUUUCUUCUUUUUGGAAGGAGUUUGUUUAAUUACAAAGGAAGGAAGUGGUUUGGGAUAGCUUCUUUUUGUAAGUUUCAUAUAGAUUAUGGAAUUUAUUAUGUAGAUGAUAAAUACCUAAGUUGUUAAUGAAUAUAUGAAUAAAUUAAUUUUAGUAUAUUUAGCUUUUAGUGUGUUAUCAUUUAUAUAACAGUUGUUCCUAAAAAAUUAUAUGUUCAUUGACUUUUGGUAAAUAGUGUAAUGGUUGUAAAGCAAUGUAGGGAAGCUGUAUGUUGGAAUCUUUUAUAAAUUCCUGUAUUUUGUGAUAUUCUGUUGACAUAAAUACUUGUAAAAUUUAUGCAUGUGCCAAAUUUAGUCAAAUUCUUUUGCAUGUUGGUGUUUGAACAGCAAGAAUAGUUUUUCAUUAAUUGACUAGUACUUCUUAAUGACAUAGUUUUCAUUGUACUUUUUAACUUCAUUGAUGGUAUAUUUGAAAAAUAAUUUAAGGUAUAUUCCAGUUAUAGUUACCACUUAAUUAUUCAGAAUGGAUGGGCUUAUUGAUGUGAAAUGUGGCAGAAUUGGUUCAGUCUGAACUCUGAUUCCUCAGGUAUCAGAUUAUUGAGCCGCCAUAUAAUAUUACAGUUAGAGUUCCUUGCUUCUAGUUUCUCUCUCACUUAUUCUGCAUGGUUACCAGCUUACUAUUUCUAAAACGUCACUUUUAGAACAUAAAGAGCUGAUAAUGGUGCCUUGGUAUAGCUGUUUUAUAAAAUUUGAGUUCGUUUGUUGGUCCAGUUAAGGCAUCUCAUAAUCCAAUCCCAUUCUUUUUAUUUAGCCUUAAUUUUUCCAGUUUGAACCUUUUGUUCCUUUUAUCUAGAUAAUCGUCAUAUUUUUGCAUUGGAUUGUACUUUUUUAUGUUCUUGAAAUGUUCUUUUCUACAUUCUACUUUUCUGUAUUUUAAGACUGAGGCCAGGUUCUGCCACUCCCAUAAAUCCUUUUAUGGUAACAUCUGUUUUCUAUGUUUUCUUAGUGGAAAAAUUGGAAUGGUGGUAAGGAUUGAAUGAAUUAAUCCAUGUAAGGCACUUAGAAGAAUGCUAAGCAGCACGUAGUAAACACUCUUCUUGGCUAUUUAUUUGAAUGCAGAUUGAUCAUAAACAUACCUGUGUCUGUAGAAAUAAUACUUGUCAGUAUGACACAAUUUAGUCUUUAAAUAUUAGCUUCAGGUUGUACUACUAUUUCUUCUGAUGUAAAACUCAAGCUGAGUUGUAAACUGGGCUUUGAACCUGUUCAAUCCAGUUCCAGCCCCUGCUGAGAGUUUGCAUUUCCACCCCAGAUACACUGAAUUUGAAUCUACAUU